UACGAAGGGGGCUAGCGUUGCUCGGAAUCACUGGGCGUAAAGGGUGCGUAGGCGGGUCUUUAAGUCAGGGGUGAAAUCCUGGAGCUCAACUCCAGAACUGCCUUUGAUACUGAAGAUCUUGAGUUCGGGAGAGGUGAGUGGAACUGCGAGUGUAGAGGUGAAAUUCGUAGAUAUUCGGAAGAACACCAGUGGCGAAGGCGACUUACUGGACACAUAUUGACGCUGAGGUGCGAAAGGGUGGGGAGCAAACAGG
rnacentral:rRNA from 1 species